CUUACAUCUGUCCUGCAGUUCUUCUGUCAACCAGUUUUCCAUCCAUGUUAUCAGGAGUUCAGGAGACCCGGAGUUAUUAACAUCUAGUUGUAACCAUGGAAGUGUUUUCCCAAGCUAUCCUGCCUCUAAAAGAAGUCCAGGCGUGCUCCCAACCUACCCAAAAACCAACCCUAACUGGUCACUUCUUACACAAAGUUAUAGUGUAGCUAGGGGGAAGAGAUCAAAGAAAAGGACUUGUGUAAAGAUGGAACUCUCUGUGGAAAGAGGACGAGAUGAACCACUUUUUGGGAGGUUAAAGGGAUUCUGGGACUUGUAGUUAAUGACUGCAAG